UCCGGUUUGGCACCGGCAGUCUCUCCAGAGUCCCCGGCUCGGCCUUUCGGCCUCUCCGCUGGCAACUGAAGACGGGGGUUGCGCUCGUUGCGGGACUUAACCCAACAUCUCACGACACGAGCUGACGACAGCCAUGCAGCACCUGUGCUAGCGCCCCGAAGGGGGGCCCCCCUUUCAGGGGGCUUACGCUAGCAUGUCAAGCCCAGGUAAGGUUCUUCGCGUUGCGUCGAAUUAAACCACAUGCUCCACCGCUUGUGCGGGCCCCCGUCAAUUCCUUUGAGUUUCAGCCUUGCGGCCGUACUCCCCAGGCGGGGCACUUAAUGCGUUAGCGCCGGCACUCGGAGGGUCGCUCCCCCGAGCACCUAGUGCCCAUCGUUUACGGCGUGGACUAC
rnacentral:misc_RNA from 1 species